UGGCUCAGUGGGUAAGAGCACUGGUUUCUCUUCCAGAGGUCCUGAGUUCAAUUCUCAG
rnacentral:tRNA from 1 species